rnacentral:lncRNA from 1 species
UCCGCGCGUGAGCCGGUCCACUUUUCGCGAGACCGUCUCGCGAGGGUAGAAGCAGGACACCGGAAUGGACAAACUCGGAUCGUUCAAACGUGCCACCAUUCGCGCGACUGUACACGUGAACGACAGGGCGAUAGUGUCUAGCAUGGGGCGAAUAUAUUCGCUCGCUCUCGGGUCGCGGUGAGUCGGACUUCCUCGAUUUGUCGUGCACCCAUCGGCGUAUUUUGUGGAUAGCAA